rnacentral:tRNA from 1 species
GAGGGUACAGCUCAGUGGUAGAGUGCUUGCUAAGAAUGCAUGAGGUCCUGGGUUCAAUCCCUAGUACCUCCA